AUCACUUCUCAGCCUUUUGGCUAAGAUCAAGUGUAGUAUAUUGUCACGUGGUAGGGUGGAAUGGAAGUAUUUUCAUUUUCCUCUCUGCCUGUUACUGGUUUCACUUCAGGAUCAUUGCUGGAAAUAAUUUUGUCAUGUAGAGGAGAGUAU
ensembl:snRNA U2 U2 spliceosomal RNA